GAUGAAGAACGUAGCGAAAUGCGAUACGUAAUGUGAAUUGCAAAUUCAGUGAAUCAUCGAGUCUUUGAACGCACAUUGCGCCCCCUGGUAUUCCGGGGGGCAUGCCUGUCCGAGCGUCAUUGCUGCCCUCAAGCACGGCUUGUGUGUUGGGCCCCGUCCUCCGAUCCCGGGGGACGGGCCCGAAAGGCAGCGGCGGCACCGCGUCCGGUCCUCGAGCGUAUGGGGCUUUGUCACCCGCUCUGUAGGCCCGGCCGGCGCUUGCCGAUCAACCCAAAUUUUUAUCCAGGUUGACCUCGGAACAGGUAGGGAUACCCGCUGAACUUAAGCAUAUCAAUAAGCGGAGGA
rnacentral:misc_RNA from 1 species